GAGAGGCCAAGCAUCAUCUGAGGUUCGUGGCAGCCCCUGUGCUCAAGCCCUGAGGUGCAAGUGGGGCAAGAUUCUUCCUGCCUCUUGCCACUGGACUCGUCUUGCUCCGUGUGACCCAGCCAGGCUGCAAGGUGAAAUGCAGUUUGGGUUCUUGCUUUGCAGUCGCUGAAACGAAAGCAAAACCUUGCAGCAACAGUACCGACAGUGAGACUCGUUGUGUGGCCCCCCCUGCCUGCCUUCUUUGCUUCCUUGCAGCCUGAGGCUUUACCUUUAGGAGGACAGGAGAGGACACACAGCUUUGCAGGCUGGAGAGGAGGUCCGAUGCCAGCACUGAGCAGGUUUUGAAUUCCUGAAAAAGAAGCCCUGAGAAGCAGCAAAUGAACUGGAAUUGAGUUUGGAUGUUCCAAGCCCAUUACAUUGGGACACUUUCCUUUAAAUUGCUUAUUAAUCUCACCUUGCCACACAGAGCUUCAAGAACAUACUUCUCUUCACCCUAACAUUAUACCUUUACAAAUGAGGGAAAUGUCAACUCUUGAUUUACUGACAAAGCAGACAACUGACACAAUUUAUCUCACUUGAGAUCAGUUCAUCAAACUUGGGAGUAUCUUGGCUGCUGUAAAACUCAGGCAUUUGAUACCAGCCCUGCUGCUUAAAAUGCAAAGCAUAACCUACAUUUUUAAAACGCUGUAAAAGGAACAAGAAGUGAUGCCAGGAUGAAAAUUUAUGAGGCAUGGAGCUGGGAUCUGAAUGUAGCAUUUGCUGUGUAGUGGAGUGUUGUUACUAUCUUGUUUGCACAGUUGAAAAGGGGAUGUUAAUGGAAAGAUCCAGCACAGGAGAGCUGAGAGCUGUUUGCAUUCUGGUCCAGUGCUGCCCUGACCUGGUGCUGUACAGGAAUCUUUUAACAUUCAUCCCUGAUUUAAUGGGGUGUUGUUUGAUGUGGUUGGGUCCUUGUUAGUGCAGCUCUGACUCCAGCAGCACGUUUGAGUGCUUGUUGCAUUCAAAUGCUGAAUUAUACCUUCUCUGGAGACAUUCAAAGCCUGCCUGGAUCUGCUCCUGUGUGGCCUGCCCUAGGUGAUGCUGCUCUGGGGGGGUGUGUUUAAUAAAAGGCUGGAUGUGGUGCUCAG